CCUACGAGAGGCAGCAGUGAGGAAUAUUGGUCAAUGGGCGGAAGCCUGAACCAGCCAAGUAGCGUGCAGGAUGACGGCCCUACGGGUUGUAAACUGCUUUUAUACGUGAAUACCGCGCCUUACGUUUAGGGCUUUGCAUGUACCGUAUUAAUAAGGACCGGCUAAUUACGUUCCAGCAGCCGCUGUAAUACGGAAUGUCCGGGAGUUAUCCGGAUUUUUUGGGUUUAAAGGGGGCGUAGGCCGCAUGUCAAGCGUGCUGUGAAAUGUUCGGGCUCAACCCGGGCCUUGCAGCGCGAACUGGCGUGCUGGAGACCGCGGAAAGCAGGCGGAAUUCGUCGUGUAGCGGUGAAAUGCUUAGAUAUGACGAAGAACCCCGAUUGCGAAGGCAGCUUGCUGCAGCGGAACUGACGCUGAUGCUCGAAAGCGCGGGUAUCGAACAGGAUUAGAUACCCUAGUAGUC
rnacentral:rRNA from 1 species